rnacentral:rRNA from 1 species
GAUGAACGCUAGCUACAGGCUUAACACAUGCAAGUCGAGGGGCAGCACAGUGUAGCAAUACAUGGGUGGCGACCGGCGCACGGGUGCGUAACGCGUAUCCAACCUUCCCGAUACUCUUGGAUAGCCUUCCGAAAGGGAGAUUAAUACAAGAUGGUGUUUCACUUUCGCAUGUUAUUGAAACUAAAGAUUUAUCGGUAUCGGAUGGGGAUGCGUGACAUUAGAUAGUAGGCGGGGUAACGGCCCACCUAGUCUGCGAUGUCUAGGGGUUCUGAGAGGAAGGUCCCCCANACUGGAACUGAGACACGGUCCAGACUCCUACGGGAGGCAGCAGUGAGGAAUAUUGGUCAAUGGUCGGAAGACUGAACCAGCCAAGUAGCGUGAAGGAUGAAGGUUCUAUGGAUUG